rnacentral:lncRNA from 1 species
GGAUGUCUGGUCGAUCAAGAACAGGAGAGGGCGACCUCCCUCAUCCUCAAAACCCUAAAAUUCACUAAACCCACAAAUUGAAGGCUCAAUCCAAGUUGAAAUCAAAAUCUGAACAUGGAAUCGUGAUUACCUCGUCAAAAGGAGUCAUAAGUUUGACGCUAAACGAGCUAGGUGGAAGCUUGAGGACGAAGCGGGUCAAACAAAUCAAUAAGGAAAAGUAAGGCAUAGUUUGGAUGCGAGGAUAAAUCGGCCUAUGAAUUAGCGAUGCUAUGAAUUAGCGAUUAUUGAGACAAGGUAUUAAAACGGGUCAAUAUGUUGAUCCGAACCAGGUGAAUGUUAUAUGCUUCCGCAUGAAGAUCAAGCCACAAGCAAGAACCGAACACACCUCUCAAUGAAGCUUCCGCAUUCGAUCUAGUUUUCUUUUAAUAAAAGUGGAUUAUGUAAACACUUUUAACGAUGUUUUGGAUGUUGUAAACAUGUUUAAAUACUUAUGAUGUAAAAGUUUUUGUUAAGUGGCAUUUUUCAUAUAAAAUGCUUACUUUAAUGUUAUGUA